AGAGUUUGAUCAUGGCUCAGAUUGAACGCUGGCGGCAGGCCUUACACAUGCAAGUCGAGCGGAAACGAUGGUAGCUUGCUACCAGGCGUCGAGCGGCGGACGGGUGAGUAACACGUGGGAAUCUACCAUACAGUGGGGGAUAGCCCGGGGAAACCCGGAUUAAUACCGCAUACCUACGGGGGAAAGCAGGGGAUCUUUCGGGACCUUGCACUAUUUGAUGAGCCCGCGUCAGAUUAGCUAGUUGGUGGGGUAAUGGCCUACCAAGGCGACGAUCUGUAGCUGGUCUGAGAGGAUGAUCAGCCACACUGGGACUGAGACACGGCCCAGACUCCUACGGGAGGCAGCAGUGGGGAAUAUUGGACAAUGGGGGCAACCCUGAUCCAGCCAUGCCGCGUGUGUGAAGAAGGCCUUAGGGUUGUAAAGCACUUUCAGUAGGAGGAAAAGUUAGUCGUUAAUAACGGCUAACCCUGACGUUACCUACAGAAGAAGCACCGGCAAACUCCGUGCCAGCAGCCGCGGUAAUACGGAGGGUGCGAGCGUUAAUCGGAAUUACUGGGCGUAAAGCGCGCGUAGGCGGCCUGAUAAGUUGGAUGUGAAAGCCCUGGGCUCAACCUAGGAACUGCAUUCAAAACUGUCAGGCUAGAGUAUGGUAGAGGAUAGUGGAAUUUCCGGUGUAGCGGUGAAAUGCGUAGAGAUCGGAAGGAACAUCAGUGGCGAAGGCGGCUAUCUGACCAAUACUGACGCUGAGGUGCGAAAGCGUGGGGAGCAAACAGGAUUAGAUCCCCUGGUAGUCCACGCAGUAGACGAUGUCAACUAGCCGUUGGGGAGCUUGCCUCCUUAGUGGCGCAGCUAACGCAAUAAGUAGACCGCCUGGGGAGUACGGCCGCAAGGUUAAAACUCAAAUGAAUUGACGGGGGCCCGCACAAGCGGUGGAGCAUGUGGUUUAAUUCGAUGCAACGCGAAGAACCUUACCUGGUCUUGACAUCCUCCAACUUACUAGAGAUAGUUUGGUGCCUUCGGGAACGUAGUGACAGGUGCUGCAUGGCUGUCGUCAGCUCGUGUUGUGAAAUGUUGGGUUAAGUCCCGUAACGAGCGCAACCCUUAUCCUUAUUUGCCAGCACGUAAUGGUGGGAACUCUAAGGAGACUGCCGGUGACAAACCGGAGGAAGGUGGGGACGACGUCAAGUCAUCAUGGCCCUUACGAGUAGGGCUACACACGUGCUACAAUGGCCGGUACAGAGGGCUGCAACCUGCGAAGGUAAGCUAAUCUCACAAAACCGGUCGUAGUCCGGAUCGGAGUCUGCAACUCGACUCCGUGAAGUCGGAAUCGCUAGUAAUCGUGGAUCAGAAUGCCACGGUGAAUACGUUCCCGGGCCUUGUACACACCGCCCGUCACACCAUGGGAGUGGAUUGCGCCAGAAGUAGGUUGCCUAACCUUCGGGAGGGCGCUUACCACGGUGUGCUUCAUGACUGGGGUGAAGUCGGUGCAAGGUAACC
rnacentral:rRNA from 1 species